GAGCUGGUGAGAGAACGUCAGUGCCUGGGGACACUCCUACCUGAAGAAGUAGGCUGCAAGCAGGAACAGGAGGAGGAGCAGAGGCAGCAGCAGCCAGGGUGCUCUCUUAUCACCACAAAGCUCCCACCCAAAGGGCCCCAUCAAAAGCCUGCUACUCCAGUUAAUGAGUGUGGCUCCUGUGAACUGGUCCAGAGGAGCUAUGUUCUGCAGCUGGUGAACACAUGCUGGCAGGAGUGAGCAGGUCCCCAUGGGAGGCCCCGGAGAUUUUUCCCCCAGUGACUCAUCUGCUGUGUCAGAAGGACCCAGGCAGAAGAGCAUGGGCCAGCCUGGGGAAGCUCUUUCUAGACCCAAUGGAACUCUGCACCAAUCAGCCACAGAUAGUACCCCUCCAACGAGGGACAGUCUACAUGUCUACAGGGUCCCCAGUGAGGAGGCACAGUUAAAGUGAAGGAGGAAGAGGAAGAGGAAAAGGAAAGACAGGAAGCACAGUGAGCAACUGUGCUCUGGGAAGAGACAACAGUCCCUGGAGGACUGCUCUGGAGCACUUUCUGGGAUCUAGUCCACAAAGCUUCUCGGGCCAGAGGCGUAUGAUAAACAUUCCAAGUAGCCCAGUCAGAGAGAACACACAUAGGUGGACUGUUUUGUUUCCCUAGCACGAAGUUGUGAGUGUAACUUCCCCUGCCUUUUCUUCUGUGACGCUAAACUCAUGAAGGCUUGGUAAAUAAAUUAGACUCACGAAUCUCCCCUGGGAUCCAAGAUCGCAUGACCGAAGGAAGUACUGUUAUUUUACAAAUUGUUAGGGAAGGAAAACAGAUGAACUGAUGACAAAGAAUAACCUGCUUGAUGAUAUAUCCCAACACAAAUGCUAUGUAUGAAGCGACUGGGUGAAACACACAUCUCUCAUUGUUCCCCGAGAGCUGCCACGCUAGGUGAGCCUCUUCAUUCUGUGUCCUGACUGCUUGCCAUCCUACACUUUGGACUGGCCCAGAUGGCAUGGGUUUUUGAGGCUAUUUCCCACUUUUCUGUUCCCUGUACUUGUACAUUAAAAAAAAAAAAAGUGAUAUUCC